UAUGUAGUCAUGGUAUCAAAAUCUAAUAACUAACCAACCAUUCUCUAUAAGGCUUCUUUUUGACCUUGGCACCUUUUGUGUAUCUUAUCUUUGAAAAACACUUGUUUAGGAUAACUGGUGUCACAUUGCUUGGAUCAAUCAUUUUCAUUAUUAUUAAACUCCUUUACCAUGAUCAUAAUUGAUACUAACUUUUAGUUACUUUCCAUUUCUGUGUUAUUUAUCUCAUUAUAAUUGUAUGUUCCUCUUCUUUUAAUUACACUAUAUAAUCAGAAUAUGAGAUUGCUAACUGUUGUAUUCUUUUAAGUAGUGAGCUUUGGAAAUUUAUGCUUGAAAUAAUGGACAUCACACUAGUUUGGUUGAUGUUGAUACUUUAGACAUAACUAGAGCGGGCCAAAAAUGCAAGACUUACUUUUCUUUCAUAACUUUUUUUGGCUUACGAGAAUGACGGGUCAUGAGUGGAAGCUUAUUGCUUUUGUCCAGAAGUCAAAUAUGGAGAGUUAUAUACAUUGAACUACAAACUCCCUUGGUCCCCGUGAAAGAUCUUUUUCUUAAAACUGAAGUCAUGCGAUGAGUUCUAAAGUUUUGAAGCUUUGAUAACGAUAGAAAAGAAGAUCCACGUAAUGGUUCAUUUGUCCACUGCAAGGUGACGGCUUAAAAUUAUCGACUAUAAUUUUCUACGGCUUGAAUUUCUUUUAAGAUCUUAUUGCAAGUCAAAUGUGAUGUGGAUACUAACAUGUUGAGCAAAUAAAAAAUUUCAUAUUGUGAGUUCAAGAUGUAGAAUUUUCUUCAAGUCUUUUUCGAAUAUCAUUAUCCACUGUGUUCCAAUUGUACAAUGAAAAUGCAUCGGUAUCAUAUUUGUAAUGGCAAAUCAAUCAUGGAUUUGAAGUAUAAGUGUGGACUAAAGUAGAAAGACUCACUACUUAAAUGUAUUAGUAGUCAAGAUCUAUCUUUAAAGGAACUUUGUUUGAAAGAUACUGCACUGCUUCACAACCAAUGAAAGUUACCUAAUAGUUUUAGUUUUUACCCCUUCAUUUUACCUCUACACUCACAGACAUCAUUGUUAUAAAUAUCAUAUUAGUUGCAUGGAAAUGGAGCAAGCUUAGAUAAACUUGGUGCUUAGGAUUAGUAAGUGCAUUUAGUUGGUUUGACAAAAUCUACUCGGUGGAAUCCAACUUCGAAAUGUCAGACAAACAAUCAUUUUCAAUUGGCCAAAUGCACAAAACUACUUUAUACAUCAUGCUUUUUCUAAGAAAUUUCCCAUUUCAGUAGUUAUUCUACAAGGAACAAUACUAUUCACACAACACUUGCAUUCAUUAUUAUGCUGAAAUGUACAACUAGCUUCAUCUAAAUUCAGGUGGCCCCAUCAAGGCAUCAACUUACUAUUAUACUCAGAUGUAGGUCAUGUGUAUACUGUACACAAUUGGAAGUGCCAAAGUUGUCAAGGUUCUAGGUGAUUGAAAAACUAGACAAGUGAUCCUGUAUUACUAAAAUAAUUAACCCAUUGUUUUGUACAUACCCAAGUGAUAAUCCCUAGUCAUGUCAUGCAUUGAUCACCUUUACAAGGAGUUAAGAGACAUUUUGUCAGAAAAUAUAAUCACUACAGGUUAGUAAAGGGAGAUAGUGACAUUCGAAAUUAGCAAUUUGAUACACUAGGAUGACAAGACUUUUGUGGUGUGGGGGUGAAAGAAUGUGAUCAUAUAAUAUAUUAUAAAAUAAUGGUCUAAGUUGUAACUGUGGUGUUUGUUGAACCGUAUAAAAAGGUUUGAGAAGAUAAAACGUGAAAACCGCAGAAAAGGACAAGUUGCAAUAUAUACUUUCUAACCAAUGGCUAUAGUUGACGUUGAUUCAUGAUGCUGAAGUGUUCAAUUUAAUCUUUUGCAGUAUUUUGGUUUAUUAUUUGAUUGCUACUUGCUAAUUGUCCUACUUGUUUUGUAUUCUGGUGCUAAAGCUUGUGGAUACCCACUAAUGUCGUUAUUUAAGGCCCAAGUUGAACU